rnacentral:rRNA from 1 species
AUUGAACGCUGGCGGCAGGCCUAACACAUGCAAGUCGAACGGCAGCGGGGGAUAGCUUGCUAUCCUGCCGGCGAGUGGCGGACGGGUGAGUAAUGCAUGGGGAGCUGCCCAGUCGAGGGGGAUAACAACUGGAAACGGUUGCCAAUACCGCAUACGCCCUCUGGGGGAAAGGUGGGGAACUUCGGUCCUACCGCGAUUGGAUGCGCCCAUGUGGGAUUAGCUAGUUGGUGAGGUAACGGCUCACCAAGGCGACGAUCUCUAGCUGGUCUGAGAGGAUGACCAGCCACACUGGAACUGAGACACGGUCCAGACUCCUACGGGAGGCAGCAGUGGGGAAUAUUGCACAAUGGGGGAAACCCUGAUGCAGCCAUGCCGCGUGUGUGAAGAAGGCCUUCGGGUUGUAAAGCACUUUCAGUCAGGAGGAAGGGGUGAUGGCUAAUAUCCAUCAUCAUUGACGUUACUGACAGAAGAAGCACCGGCUAACUCCGUGCCAGCCGCCGCAGUAA